UCCCAGGACCCUGGGAUCAUGACCUGAGCCGAAGGCAGCCGCUUAACCAAUUGAGCCACCCAGGUGCCCCAUAUCUGUCAAAACUUUUAAAUGUACCUUCCCUUUGAUUCAGCAAUUCCACUUCUUUAAAGUAUCUUACAGAUAUAAUUGUAUUUUACAGACAUAGUUUGUGAAGGAUGAUAUUCAUUGCUACAUUGUUAAAUUUAAAAUAAUCUGACCAACAGUAUUUUUCACAGAACCAGAAUAAGAAAUCCUAAAAUUUGUGUGGAACCACAAAAGACCCUGAAUAGCCAAAGCAAUUUUGAGAAACAACAACAAAGCUAGAGUUAACACAAUUCCAAAUUUCAAACUAUACUACAAAGCUGUAGUAAUCAAAACAGUAUGGUACUGGCAUAAAAACAGACACACAGAUCAAUGGAACAGACUAUAUAACCCAGAAAUAAGUCCAUGAUUUUUAUGACAAAAGAGGUAAUAAUAUAUAAUGGGGAAAAGACAAUCUCUUCAAUAAUGGUGUUGGGGAAACUAGACAGCUACAUGCAAAAGAAUGAAACUGGACUUCUUACACCAUACACAAAAAUAAACUCAAAAUGGACUAAAGACCUAAAUGUGAGACCUGAAACCAUAAAACUCCUCAAGAAAACAUAGGCAGUUAUUUCUUUGACAAAAAUGCCUUCCCACCAUAUUUAUGAAUAUGUCUCCUCAGCCAAUGGAAACAAAAAAUAAUAAUAAACUGUUGGGAUUACCCCAAAAUAAAACACUUUUGCACAGUGGAGGAAACCAUCAACAAAAUAAAAAGACAACCUGCUAAAUGGAAGAAGAUAUUUGCAAAUGACAUAUCUGAUAAGGGGUUAAUGUCCAAAAUAUAUAAAUAACUUAGACAACUCAACACCAAAAUAAUCAUCAUCAUCAUCUUAUGAAAAAAAAAAAAGGGCAGAGGACUUGAAUAGACAUGGUUCCAAAGAAGAUAUACAGAUGCCCAAAAGGCACAUUAAAAAAUGCUCACCAUCAGUAAUCAUCUGGGAAAUGCAAAUCAAAACCACAAUAAGAUUUCACUUUACAACCUGUUGGAAUGAUUAGUAUCAAAAAGACAAAAAAUAACUGUUGGUGAGGAUGUGGAGAGAAAGGAACCCUCAUGCACUGAUGGUGGGAAUGUAAUUUGGUGCAGCCACUGUGGAAAACAGUAUGGAGGUACCUCAAAAAAUUAAAAAUAGGAAUACUAUAUGAUCCAUUAAUUCCACUACUGGGUAUUUACCCAAAGAAAAUGAAAACAUUAAUUCAAAGAUAUAUGUACCCUAUGUUUAUCACAGCAUUAUUUACAAGAGCCAAGAUAUGGAAGUAACCCAAGUGUCCAUUGAUAGAUGAAUGGAUAAAGAAUAUGUGGUGUGUAUAUAUGUAUGUAUACACACAUAUACACACACAAUGGAAUAUAUCUCAGCCAUAAAAAGAAUGAGAUCUUGCCAGUAGCAACAACACAGAUGGACCUAAGAGGUAUUAUGCUAAGUGAAAUAAACCAGAUAGAGACAAAUACCCUAUGAUUUUACUUAUAUGUGAAAUCUAAAAAACAAAACAAAUGAGCAAAUAAAAAGCAGAAACAGACCCAUAAAUUCAGAGAACAAACUGAUGGUUGCCAGCGGAGAGGGAGGGCAAGAGGAUGGGCAAAAUGGGUGAAGGGGAGUGGAAGGUAUAGACUUCCACUUACGGAAUAAACAAUUCAUGGGGAUGAAAGGUACAGCAUAGCGAACAGACUCAGUGGUAUUUUAAUACUGUUGUAUGGUGACUAAUGGUAGCUACACUUGUGGUGAGCAUAGCAAACAUAUAGACUUGGUGAAUCACUAUGGUGUACAUCUGAAACUAACGUAAUAUUAUAUGUCACCUAUACUUCAAUUAAAGAAAUAAAACUGAAUGACAAUCAACUGUAGGUAGCAUUAUAAAUUAUGAUAUAUCUUCUCUCUCCUCCAUCUCCAAUUACGCUAAUUCUUUUCAGAGUUCUCUAAUACACUGUCUAAAUGUCUCUACUGGAAAAUAAAUCUUUUGUUCCUUUACUGAUUCUCUUUAUUCUUUUAAUGAAUGAGCCAUCCAUACUGGACCAUGCUCCCAAUUUUGGAUUUCGAUGAAAUACCACACACUAUGUGACAUACAUCUGGUUUCCUGAAUGGCUGAAGGGACCUGACGAUAUAACAUAGAAGCACAAAGAUAAGUUGAAGGUGAAGCUUGACUAAUGGCAAACAGAAUACCACGAAGUCAACUAAAAUGAAACAGUUCUAUAUGUACUGAAAUGGAAUCCAUCGAUAAUCCAUCCAUAAAUAGAUAAAGAAAGAAAGAAAGAAAAAAAAAAAAAGAAGAAAGGAAGGAAGGAAGAAUAAAGCAUGGUGAAGAACAGAAGAAUUUCUCUUUGCAAAAAAAAAAAUUCUUGUAUGAUUAAAAUAUCUUUUGAAGAAUACACAAAUAAUAAAUCACAAUUAUUUUCUCAAAGGUAGGUAAUUGGGUAGUAUUUUUUGUAUGAUUAAAAUAUCUUUUGAAGAAUACACAAAUAAUAAAUCACAAUUAUUUUCUCAAAGGUAGGUAAUUGGGUAGUAUUUUUCUUAUAUGCCAUUACAAAACCUUUAAAUUUUGUAGCUCUAUUUGUAUUAUUCAUUAAAAUUACUUUUAAAAAAGAAAUGAACAAUUAUCAUGAAAAGAGAUUUCACAAAAUAAAUGAGCGAGCAAGCAAGCAAAGUAUUUUUAUGUUUAUACCCCAAGAAUUUAAGAUUCCUCAUUCAACUAAUAAGUGUGAGAGUGGUAAGCAGGACUGUGAUGCUAGGUCUUAAAAAUCAUGUUGAGGUUGCUGAAAUUUAUUCUAUGUACAAUUGGAAGCCAUAUUAGCCCACUGAGUGACUUCACAUAGAGAAAAGAAUUCUCACUUUGA